rnacentral:rRNA from 1 species
UACGGGGGGGGCAAGCGUUGUUCGGAAUUACUGGGCGUAAAGGGCUUGUAGGUGGCCAACUAAGUCAGACGUGAAAUCCCUCAGCUUAACUGGGGAACUGCGUCUGAUACUGGAUGGCUUGAGUUUGGGAGAGGGAUGCGGAAUUCCAGGUGUAGCGGUGAAAUGCGUAGAUAUCGGGAGGAAUACCAGUGGCGAAGGCGGCUUCUUGGCCUGUUCUUGACGCUGAGGCGCGAAAGCUGGGGGAGCAAACGGG